AUUGAACGCUGGCGGCAGGCCUAACACAUGCAAGUCGAGCGGAUGAAGAGAGCUUGCUCUCUGAUUUAGCGGCGGACGGGUGAGUAAUGCCUAGGAAUCUGCCUGGUAGUGGGGGAUAACGUUCCGAAAGGAACGCUAAUACCGCAUACGUCCUACGGGAGAAAGCAGGGGACCUUCGGGCCUUGCGCUAUCAGAUGAGCCUAGGUCGGAUUAGCUAGUUGGUGAGGUAAUGGCUCACCAAGGCGACGAUCCGUAACUGGUCUGAGAGGAUGAUGAGGCACCACGGAACUGGGAACCGGGCCAGACUCCUACGGGAGGCAGCAGUGGGGAAUAUUGGACAAUGGGCGAAAGCCUGAUCCAGCCACGCCGCGUGUGUGAAGAAGGUCUUCGGAUUGUAAAGCACUUUAAGUUGGGAGGAAGGGCAUUAACCUAAUACGUUAGUGUUUUGACGUUACCAACAGAAUAAGCACCGGCUAACUUCGUGCCAGCCGCCGCAGUAAGAC
rnacentral:rRNA from 1 species